ACUGAGCUCCAAUCUUCGGAAGCGUGCUAAUGAGAACCAGCCUCCGCGAAGUAAUACCUAACGGUGGUCCCGCGGGGGAGAGUGGUAGAGAUGUGUGUCGGGGGUAGUUUUUAGUACGUAGAAGUCGUAUUUGCUGCUAGUAAGAAUCAGCAGUAUCUUUUGAAGAUUUUCUACUUCCAGCUUGC
rfam:Glossina morsitans morsitans, isolate Yale, WGS project CCAG01000000 data, contig: ctg10012396